rnacentral:rRNA from 1 species
UACAGAGGAUGCAAGCGUUAUCCGGAAUGAUUGGGCGUAAAGCGUCUGUAGGUGGCUUUUUAAGUCCGCCGUCGAAUCCCAGGGCUCAACUCUGGACAGGCGGUGGAAACUACCAAGCUGGAGUACGGUAGGGGCAGAGGGAAUUUCCGGUGGAGCGGUGAAAUGCGUAGAUAUCAAGAGGAACACCAGUGGCGAAGGCGAGUCCCUGGACAACACCUGACACUGAGGCACGAAAGCUAGGGGAGCAAACAGG